rnacentral:rRNA from 1 species
UACGUAGGUGGCAAGCGUUGUCCGGAUCUACUGGGCGUAAAGAGCGCGCAGGCGGUCGUCCAAGUCGCGUGUGAAAGCCCCCGGCUCAACUGGGGAGGGUCACGCGAUACUGGUCGACUCGAAGGCAGGAGAGGGUAGUGGAAUUCCCGGUGUAGUGGUGAAAUGCGUAGAUAUCGGGAGGAACACCAGUGGCGAAGGCGACUACCUGGCCUGUUCUUGACGCUGAGGCGCGAAAGCUAGGGGAGCAAACGGG